rnacentral:rRNA from 1 species
UACAGAGGUCUCAAGCGUUGUUCGGAUUCAUUGGGCGUAAAGGGUGCGUAGGCGGCGCCGUAAGUCGGAUGUGAAAUCUCAGGGCUCAACCCUGAAACUGCAUUCGAUACUGCGGUGCUUGAGGACUGGAGAGGAGACUGGAAUUCAUGGUGUAGCAGUGAAAUGCGUAGAGAUCAUGAGGAAGACCAGUGGCGAAGGCGGGUCUCUGGACAGUUCCUGACACUGAGACACGAAGGCCAGGGGGAGCAAACGGG